CCAGUCCCACAUUUUCACAGCAGACGGAGAGACAGCUGGAAAGGAGAAGCUGGCAUCUCUGGAGGCACCAGGGCACUGACACCCCUCCCCACAAGGAAUGACGCUCCCAUUUGCAUUUCGUUCACAUAAACGGGCCCCCAGACUCACGGUAGGACCCUGCCAAGAAGAGCUUCGCCUUCAGCCGCCAGCUGCACCCUUCCUCCAGGACUCUGCAAGCCUGGUAACUGCUCAGCAACCACUCUUCAGUGAACUUGGGCCAGUCUCGUAACCCCGCCGCCACUCAGAGUCGCUGUCCCCAGCCUUAGG